UCUCCGUUGGUGAACCAGCGGAGGGAUCAUUGCUGGAAAACAGGCCCCCGGGCCCUACCCAGAAACCCUUUGUGAACUUAUACCUAAUUGUUGCCUCGGCAUUAGUUGGCUUUUUUUUAAAAGUCCCUUUUUUUUCUACUUCGGAAUAAGAAAGGAGCAGACUGGCCGGUGGCCCCCCACUAUAAACUCUUGUUUUUAUUGUACAUCUUCUGAGUAAACAACUAUAAAUGAAUCAAAACUUUCAACAACGGAUCUCUUGGUUCUGGCAUCGAUGAAGAACGCAGC
rnacentral:misc_RNA from 1 species